rnacentral:sRNA from 1 species
UAAUGUGUUUCAAAAGGUGGUGCAGUAUUCUAGUCAGGUAAGUAUUUUUGAGGGCGGGGCUAAAAAUCCGUUAAAGAGCAUAUCGAUGAAGUUCCUUGUGCUGGCUUAUGACGCCCAGUUGUGGGUUGGUGCUGGGAGUAAGGUUGUGGGGCAAUCGCAAAGGCAUGCGACAUUGACCCUACAUCCGUGGAGACCAUUGUAUGUGCUUUGGAAGAAAUAUCUAAAGUACGGCAAUGGAUUAAACCUGCAUUGUGGUAAACUUAGCUAUGUGCAGAGUAGCUUGCCUUGAGUGGGGUGGGUAGAGGUGAGAACAAACCAAUAUGCUUAGGCCAAAGCAUUGCGGUUAUUGCUUACUAAAACCUAUGCUGCAAAAGAGGAUAAAAAAAUACCUAACUGUUGAGGAAAUCUCCUAGACUGUUUAUUUUAUAAAACAUAUUAGGGAUUGUAGUGUGGACUAAGUGGUAAUCUAGCCCUAUAGAUUUGGUAACAUUAUAGAUAGAGCAUUAAAAGGAAACUACUGAAAUGGCGACAUUUUAGUUGCUCUAUGGGAAAUCCUGCUGGACCUAAGCCGCAAAAUUUACUUAAUAUGUUACCACUUUUUGAUUUUUUUGG